rnacentral:rRNA from 1 species
GGAGGAAAAGAAACUAACAAGGAUUCCCCUAGUAACUGCGAGUGAAGCGGGAGAAGCUCAAAUUUAAAAUCCCUUCUGGGAGUUGUAAUCUAGAGACGUGUUUUCGGUCGUUGCCUCGGACAAGUCCCUUGGAAUAGGGCGUCAUAGAGGGUGAGAAUCCCGUACUUGCCGAGCUCCCAAUGACUAUGUGAUACACGUUCGAAGAGUCGAGUUGUUUGGGAAUGCAGCUCAAAAUGGGUGGUAAACUCCAUCUAAAGCUAAAUAUUGGCGAGAGACCGAUAGCGAACAAGUACCGUGAGGGAAAGAUGAAAAGCACUUUGGAAAGAGAGUUAAACAGUACGUGAAAUUGUUGAAAGGGAAGCGCUUGAAGUCAGUCGCGUUGCAGGGACUCAGCCGUCAAGGUGCAUUUCUCUGCAACGGGUCAACAUCAAUUUCGGCCGCGGGAAAAGGGCUUGGGGAAUGUGGCAGCUUCGGCUGUGUUAUAGCCUCUUGUCGUACACCGCGGCCGGGAUUGAGGACUGCUAUUACAGGAUGUUGACAAAAUGGCUUUAAGCGACCCGUCUUGAAACACGGACCA